GAGGCUGAGGCUGAGGCUCGCAGUAGCCCCUUUGUGAGGCACGGGGCAGAUACGCACCCCACGUCUCGCAGCUCGAGUCCCGGACCGCAAGAUGGGUGCUUGUCCAGGCGCCCCACCCCACCCCCACGCCCGAGGCCGGGUGCGGCACCUCCGCCCGCCAGCCGCUCCUGCAUUAAAAUUUCAUGGGCGCUGCAGUAGACGCGAAGACGACGCGGGUUGCGCUGGGGGACCGUAGGGAGGGAGGCUGCGGACCAGUGCGGGGAGGAGUUUGCGAGGGGAGGCGCUUGCAGGACUCCCCCAGUUCUGUUAAGAGCUGGGCACAAAGAGCCCUUUGCACUCCAGCCUCAGGAGCGAGGAGCCGAGAGGCAGGAUCUCACUAUGUACAGCAGGAUGACCUGGAACUCACAGAGGGUCCAACUGCAUCUGCCUUCCAAGCAUUGGGAUCAAAAUAGUGCUUGUAAUUACCCACUGUACCUGGCUGGAGGCCUGUCCCCAUGGCUCAUCUGUCUCAGUGGUACCUUGGGGUGAAGCAGAGACUCUGGUGGUGGAAGCCAAAGGCUUUACCAAGUUGGUUCUGUCCACAACACAGGGAUUGAACCUUCCGAACCUCAAGAGUUCCUGCUAGUUCCCAAGUGGCAGAAGAAUGGAGGGGAUUGGGAAAGGUCAUAGCCACCCUGGGAAGCAGCCGUGCAGAUAAGUAUCCCUUCACCAGCCCGCCUGCAUGGG